GGGUUAGUUUUAGGGUUAGGAGCUAGGGUUAGUUUAAGGGUUAGGAGCUAGGGUUAGUUUUAGGGUUAGGAGCUAGGGUUAGUUUUAGGGUUAGUAGCUAGGGUUAGGUUUAGGGUUAGGAGUUAGGAGCUAGGGUUAGUUUAAGGGUUAGGAGCUAGGGUUAGUUUUAGGGUUAGGAGCAAGGAGCUAGGGUUAGUUUAAGGGUUAGGAGCUAGGGUUAGUUUAAGGGUUAGGAGCUAGGGUUAGUUUAAGGGUUAGGAGAUAGGGUUAGUUUUAGGGAUAGGAGCUAGGUUUAGUUUUAGGGUUAGGAGUUAGGAGCUCGGGUUAGUUUUAGUGUUAGGAGCUAGGGUUAGUUUUAGGGUUAGGAGCUAGGAGCUAGAGUUAGUUUUAGGGUUAGGAGCUAGGGUUAGUUUUAGGGUUAGGAGCUAGGAGCUAGAGUUAGUUUUAGGGUUAGGAGCUAGGGUUAGUUUAAGGGUUAGGAGCUAGGGUUAGUUUUAGGGUUAGGAGCUAGGGUUAGUUUUAGGGUUAGUAGCUAGGGUUAGGUUUAGGGUUAGGAGUUAGGAGCUAGGGUUAGUUUUAGGGUUAGGAGCUAGGGUUAGUUUUAGGGUUAGGAGCUAGGGUUAGUUUAAGGGU